rnacentral:rRNA from 1 species
CCUUUGACGUUAGCGGCGGACGGGUGAGUAACACGUGGGUAACCUACCUAUAAGACUGGGAUAACUUCGGGAAACCGGAGCUAAUACCGGAUAAUAUUUCGAACCGCAUGGUUCGAUAGUGAAAGAUGGUUUUACUAUCACUUAUAGAUGGACCUGCGCCGUAUUAGCUAGUUGGUAAGGUAACGGUUUACCAAGGCGACGAUACGUAGCCGACCUGAGAGGGUGAUCGGCCACACUGGAACUGAGACACGGUCCAGACUCCUACGGGAGGCAGCAGGC